AUGGCGUCGGCGGGCGUGGUGGCCGCGGCGGCGGUGGUGGCGGCGCUGGCGGCCUUCUGCGCGACGGACCCGCUGCGGCUGGGCUCCAUGGCCGACUUCCCGGGCUUCGACGCGCUCCCCGUGGAGCUCCCGGACGCGGCCGAGAUGCCCCCGCACGCGGACGCCGCGGAGCGGCUGCGCGGCGCCGAGAUCCGGUUCCGCGGCGAGGUGCAGGGCCCCGAGAGCGUCGCCUUCGACCCGCUCGGCCGCGGGCCCUACACGGGCGUCGCCGACGGCCGCGUCCUCGUCUGGGACGGCGCCCGCUGGGCCUACUUCGCGCACGCCUCCCCCGCCUGGACCGCCGAGCGCUGCGGCGGGCCCAAGGCGUCCCCCAUGGAGUACCUCAAGGACGAGCACGUCUGCGGCCGCGCGCUCGGCAUCCGGUUCGACAAGCGCAACGGGGACCUCUACAUCGCCGACGCCUACUUCGGCCUCUCCAAGGUCGGGCCCGAGGGCGGGCUGGCCACGCCGCUCGCCACGGAGGCCGAGGGCGUGCGCUUCAACUUCACCAACGACCUCGACCUCGACGCCGACGGCAACGUCUACUUCACCGACAGCAGCGUCCUCUACCAGAGAAGGCAUUUCAUGCAGUUGGUUUUCUCUGGAGAUGCCUCUGGGAGGCUCUUGAAAUACAAUCCCGAAACAAAGGAGACAACAGUCCUUCACCGCAACCUCCAGUUUCCCAACGGAGUGAGCUUAAGCAAGGAUGGCUCGUUCUUCGUCUUCUGUGAAGGAUCUCGUGGAAGGUUGAGCAGAUACUGGCUGAAAGGUGAGAAGGCAGGCACCGUCGAUCUCUUCGCCAUCCUGCCUGGGUUCCCGGACAACGUGAGGACCAACGACAAGGGCGAAUUCUGGGUGGCAAUCCAUUGCCGACGCAGCGCAUACGCCCGGCUCUUGAGUCGCCGCGUCCAGCUCAGAAAGUUCUUGCUCAGCCUCCCGAUCCCCGCCAAGUAUCACUACCUGAUGCAAAUCGGCGGCAAUCUGCACGCGCUCAUCAUCAAGUACAGCCCUGAAGGCGAGGUGCUUGACAUCUUGGAGGACACUAAAGGGCAGGUGGUGAGAGCUGUGAGCGAAGUGGAGGAGAAGGAUGGCAAGCUCUGGAUAGGAUCUGUUCUCAUGCCCUUCAUUGCCGUCUUUGACUACGCCAAGGAAUCCUAA
rnacentral:rRNA from 1 species